UUUAAGCAUAUCACUCAGUGGAGGAACUGCAAGCAACUGCGCUUGCCCCAGUAAUGGCGAAUGAACCAGCAACACACAUGGCUCUGCCCGAAGUGAGAGUGCCCCUGUCUCGGCUCUUGUGGAAUCUCAGCAAAUGCUGUGGGCUGUACGUGGAGCAGUCGGCUGUGUCACCGGUCUGGACCAUGGCACCAGGGAGCGCCCUGGAAGGGGCCACGCCAGAGGGCUACCGUCCCCUACACAACAGUUGAGUGCCGUUGGUCCGCCGAGGUGCGGCCGGGUGCAUCCCGGAGUAGAGUGGCUUGGGACUGCAGUUUGAAGCGUGAGGUGUAUCCCUCACAAGGUGGCAUACAGACCUGGGACCGAUAGCGCACAAGUAGAGUGAUCGAAGGAUGCAAAGAACUCCGUGAAGAGGGUUAAAAGUCCCUGAAGCCUCGGCAGGGCCGGCGGUGAGUGGUGCUGUGGCUCCAAACCACACGUGCUCUCUCACCUCGCCGCGGAAAAGCAGUGCUGACGCAGUCGCAAGGCGCACGGGCAGCAAUGCCCUGUGUGUCUCUCCAUGUCUGGGCGUAUGUCUCAACACAUAUAUCCCUGGGGCCGGGCCCCCGUUGUUGUCGAGCAGAGAGAGGGUGUGCGGACCCCACAGCCGUGUCCCACACACCUGCUCCGCGUCACUCCUCCUGAUCAACUGGUCGUUUCCUCCUCCUGAUGCUGUGAUGGUCUCUCGAAGCCGAUGUGAUCUGUCUGGUCGGCUGGCGUUUGAACGUGGAAUGCAAUCCAUCAAAUCUGGGGAUAGAUGAUGCUUGAUGGUGUGGCGUGUGGGGAGUGGGCGCAGAGCCCCCGACGCUCCGCCCCACCGGGAGAGGCAAGGCACCCGCGGUCCGCAUCCUCGUGGCGGCGUCCGGUCCCCCUCAAAAAGGGGCCGCGUACGAAUUCCGUCCUUGGCCCUGUGGAUCGCCGGGGUUCGUGCGGUCCCUCCCGUGUGGGCGUCGAGCGAGAGGGCACGGCCCAAACACGCCGGAGGCGCUCCCUCCUCUCUCUCCCUCUCCGCGGGCCGGGUGCGAUUGCACCGCUGGCGAGCAGCAGUUGUGGCACAUGUGGGCUAUUGUGAUGAUUGAGCAAAGACACACCCGUGGCUGGUGUGCAGCAACCCGUAUCAGUAUCUGUGAAUGGCAAACAAAAAAAGUGAUUCCGGAACCCGGGGAACAAGGGCACCCCGGCAGGCAGUUGUUGGCGCAACCCAGAGCGUGUGUUGUCCGGGCGGAGGCUGCGAGCACUCCGGGGGGUCUCGGCCCCUCGUCGGGUGUCUCUCUCCGUCGCGCUCGGCUCACCGGUCGUCUCCCCGUCCAAGAGCGCUGUGCGAUUUGACUGUGGGGUGUGGGAACCGCGCCCGCGCUGGGCCGCUGGGUGCGCGUGUGUGUGUGUGUGGCGAGGGGUCAAACCCGGACCACCACCACGACCGCUCAGCCCCCAGCCGGAGUGGACCCACAACAGCAGCAAAACAAACAGGUCUGUGAAUGUGCGGAUGGCAACGCACAGGGCAACACCAGUCUAUGGAGCAACCCGAAUGGAAAAGGAGUGAAGAGCACCGACCCUCUCUCCCCGGAGAGAGCAGGCACAGUCCAGUGGAGCACAAAAGCAGAGCAUCUCUCGUCACACCCAGUCAAAAGUCUCCAGAUGGAGCAACGGCAGAGAAACAAGUGGUAAGUUCCAAGCGUCCUCGGGCCAGCCCCGGACUUCGGUCGCUGAGCCCCUGUCUCCGGACAGGGACGCCAGUCGCGGCAGUCCCUGGGGUGGCACCAUGCCCGUCCAGGGCCCGAGGUUCCUAUGCAGCGUUUUCGAGAAUCUGUGGCAUCUCAGACUCCUGUGUGCGGGCUACACACAGAACAACAACACGAGAAGAGAGUGUGGGCUGAUGAUGAGGAUGGCGAAUGUGCUUUGUGGCUGAUACACCAAACACCGUGGCUGCUGUGCGGGGACCACGGUGUGCCUGUCCUGAACGCGUGGCUCGGCUCUGUGUGCGCUGGCCACACCACACAACGUGAUGAUGAGCUUUGGGGAUCUGCGAGGAAGCCCAAACCAACGGGAUCACGGUCCGCCCUCUGUCGGUGGGACCCCCGUCGGGGCGGCGACAGGGUAAAAUGGGCCAAUCGAGAACACCGGAGGUGCGGGUGGAGCCUCCGCAAACCAUCAGCGCUUGUGUGUGUGCGUGCCAGUGGCACACGGAGCAAGAGGGCGCGUCAUGCCAAGGCGCCCAAACACCCGGACCAGAGCAACGGAGCGGUGGUGCAUGGAUGAACACGGGAUUGUCUCCCUCUUUGGCUGUGUGUGCGGCUGUGUGUGCCUUUCGAGAUUCAGCAGCAACCCUGGACGCCCCGAAUGGGGGACGAAGAGAGCCAAGGGGCCGGCCGCCCCGACGAACAUGUGCACGCUGGAGAUGAGCGCCCAGCAACGGCCUGUCUGUGUGUGAUGCCCGUCGUUGUGUGUGUGGUGGUGGUCCCACCCACAACAACCACAGUCAAGAAGAAACCAAAAGAAUCGGAGGAGGAUCUCUCAACAAAGCCCUGGCGGUGUCUCCGGACACUGCCAGGCACCCCGGCCCCGACACCAGUGGAUUUCCUCUGGGGUCCUGGCGUCCGCACCGGUGGCUGCACCAUCCUGCUGGUGGCCGCCGUGCCUGGACCGCCGAUCCCCCGCUGGGGGCCGGGUGCGCAAGGCAGCUGAGCUUGGCCGAAUCCCAAACCUGUCAGUGCCGCUCACUGCCCGUCUUGAAACACGGACCAAGGAGUCUAUGGAGCUUGCGCAUGUUGCCUGGUGGAGGAGGCUUUCCCCACACGAAUCACAAACCGCAAGGGCGCGGUGAAGGCAACCAUCCCAUUCCAGAUGGUGGCACCUGCAUGGAAUCACCGGAUCCGCAGUCCAGUGGACAGGGUUUUGAGUGCUUGCAAGGUCCAUGGGACCCGAAAGGUGGUGAACUAUACCGUCCUACAGUGAAGCCAUGGGAAACUGUGGUGGAAGCUGGUCGCUGUUCUGACGUGCAAAUCGUGUAGCCUGAGUGCGGCAUAGGGGUGAAAGGCCAAUCGAGCCACCUAGUAGCUGGUUCCCUUCGAAGUUUCCCUCAGGAUAGCUGGGCUCAAGUGCAAUCGUGGAAUCCUCAGCCACUCUUCUGGUUGUGGUUACGUCCGGUAAAGCAACGCAUGAGAGGCAAGACUCCGGGGGAGCCCCUGCUCCUCGACCUAUUCUCGAACUGUGAAUGGGCGUGGCAAACCCAGCACAAGGCAUGCUUCUUCACUGUGCGCCCGGAGGCCGCCUGAAAACCGGUUCUCCCUGGGCCUCUUCUGAGCGUGUUUGGCAACAGUCUGGUUUGAUGCAACACAGCCCCACGCGUGCGUGUGCGGGCGGGAGAGAGGAGCCCCAAUGGGACGAGGACGAGACACAACGCAAAAAGGGCACCGGGGAAGAGCCACCCCGUGUGUGCUGUGGUGUUGGUGGGUGGUGGGGGUGUUGUCGACGCGGUCUGACUCCGGACAGGAGCCCGCGGAGGCACCCACCCACCCACCCACCCACACACGCGCCGGGUGUGUGUCCUCUCCCCCGGUGUGUGUGUGUGCUCUCCCCGCUCGCUCUCCCCCCGAGCGCAGCGCGAGACCCAAUCGGGAAGGAUGGUGCAUUUGACAGGAUUCUAUGUGAACACAAGUGCCUAUGUGGGCCAUGACUGGUAAGCAGUGCUGGCGAUGCGGGGUGCUCCGAGAGUGGAUCUACAGAUCCCGGAUGCUGGCUCAUACUCAGAUCCCACAAAGGAUGUCGCUUGCUCUGGAUAGCAGGACGGUGGCCAUGAAGGUUGGAACCCGCUGAGGAAUGUGUAACAACUCACCUGCCGAAGCGUGCGGCUCCGAAAAUGGAUGGUGCCCAAGUCAGUGGAGUGCUUGUCCCUCACAGUCCACCCUCGCUGUGGAGGGCGACAAACCCAAACAAGCAGAGCAUCGUGGUGUAGAGAGGGCAUGGGAGACCUGGCCGCUCCGGCGGGGGCCACCCCUGGCUGGAGCGUCUCCCGGCGCAGAUCUUGGUUGUAGUAGCGAGUACUCCAUCGGGUGAUGAGCGGCAAACACAACACCUCCGCUGUGUGCGGUUGAGGACUGGAGUGGAGCAGGUUUCCACACCAAACAGCCGUUGAAUGUGGGUCAACCGGCCGUGAGCCAAGUGGUAAGUUCACUGAGCAACCAAAGCUGCCCCCUCGCCGGGCGCAGGAGUGGCAAACAGGCAGGCGAGUGCAACAUUCUGCCGUGGUGGGAUCGGGGCGCUCUGCGGUGGUGACACCCAGAGAUCCCGGCCCGAGCAAGCUUCGGGGCAGUGAAGCCCCCGAGGAGUUAUCGUUUCCUCCUGAUGCAGACCCAUGUGGGCUAUUGAUUGGCAUGCCAGAUGGUGGUGUAUGUCCUCCGCUCAGCAAGGCAGCGCGGCCUCCGCGCUGGUGGUGGUGAGAACAGCACAGACACAGCAGCGACGUGCCCCGUGCACGGAAGAGCACAUGUCACAUCUCCUGUGAAAGACAAAAAAAGCAGUGGUGGUGGUCACUGGCUCCAAUGAAAGGCUUGCUCGGCUGAGGUGCCCCAGAUCCCUGGGCCCUCGUACUGAAUCACCGCAGCUGGUCUCCUCGGCAAGACGCCGCUAGUCCACGGACGAAAUGCAGCUAAGGGAAGUCGGCAAACUGGCUGUGCACCCUCGGAAGAUGCAGUGGCUCCAGAGGCCAGGCCGCGGAGGUCCUGCCGCGAGGCCCUGUGUGGUUGUGUGCGGAGGCCGUCACCCCGUGCGCGGGUUCUUCGGUGUGCCCCUCAACAAGGCACCCGGCCCCGUCCGGUGCGUGCGUGGCCCCACCGUCGCACCGCACUCUCCCUCCGGCGGGGGCCAGCCCCCCAGCCCCCUCGGGGGCCGGGCUGCGCCACCCUCCCGUCUACACAGUGGCUCAUGUGGAACUGUUGCCGUGCAGGGGAAUCUGACUGUUUAAUUGAAACACAGCUUUGUGAAGGGACCAGCUGGCUGGUGCCAUGAGGUGACUUCUGCCCAGUGCUCUGAUUGUCAAUGCGAAGAGAUUCAGUCAAGCGCGGGUAAACGGCGGGAGUAACUAUGACUCUCUUAAGGUAGCCAAAUGCCUCGUCGACCAAUUAUUGACGCGCAUGAAUGGAUCAACGAGAUUCCUGCUGUCCCUAGCCGCUGUCUGGUGAACCAACAACCCAAGGGAACGGGCUUGGAUGCGUCAGCGGGGAAAGAAGAGCCUGUUGAGA
rnacentral:rRNA from 1 species